rnacentral:rRNA from 1 species
GACGGGGGGGGCAAGUGUUCUUCGGAAUGACUGGGCGUAAAGGGCACGUAGGCGGUGAAUCGGGUUGAAAGUGAAAGUCGCCAAAAAGUGGCGGAAUGCUCUCGAAACCAAUUCACUUGAGUGAGACAGAGGAGAGUGGAAUUUCGUGUGUAGGGGUGAAAUCCGUAAAUAUACGAAGGAACGCCAAAAGCGAAGGCAGCUCUCUGGGUCCCUACCGAUGCUGGGGUGCGAAAGCAUGGGGAGCGAACAGG